CACCGCGGUUAUACGAGAGGCCCAAGCUGACAGGAUUCGGCGUAAAGGGUGGUUAAGUGUUUACUAACUAAGGCCAAACAUUUUCAGAGCUGUUAUACGCAACCGAAAAUAUGAAGUACCCCCACGAAAGUGGCCUUAAACAUCUGACUCCACGAAAGCUAUGAAA
rnacentral:rRNA from 1 species